AGUGAACGCUGGCGGUAGGCCUAACACAUGCAAGUCGAACGGCAGCACAGUAAGAGCUUGCUCUUACGGGUGGCGAGUGGCGGACGGGUGAGGAAUACAUCGGAAUCUACUUUUUCGUGGGGGAUAACGUAGGGAAACUUACGCUAAUACCGCAUACGACCUACGGGUGAAAGCAGGGGAUCUUCGGACCUUGCGCGAUUGAAUGAGCCGAUGUCGGAUUAGCUAGUUGGCGGGGUAAAGGCCCACCAAGGCGACGAUCCGUAGCUGGUCUGAGAGGAUGAUCAGCCACACUGGAACUGAGACACGGUCCAGACUCCUACGGGGGGCAGCAGUGGGGAAUAUUGGACAAUGGGCGCAAGCCUGAUCCAGCCAUACCGCGUGGGUGAAGAAGGCCUUCGGGUUGUAAAGCCCUUCUGUUGGGAAAGAAAAGCAGCAGGUUAAUACCCCGCUGUUCUGACGGUACCCAAAGAAUAAGCACCGGCUAACUUCGUG
rnacentral:rRNA from 1 species